CCUACGGGAGGCAGCAGUGAGGAAUAUUGGUCAAUGGACGCGAGCCUGAACCAGCCAAGUCGCGUGAAGGAGGACUGCCCUAUGGGUUGUAAACUUCUUUUGUACGGGGGUAAACGCAGAAACGCGUGUCUUUUUGUAAGUACCGUACGAAUAAGGAUCGGCUAACUCCGUGCCAGCAGCCGCGGUAAUACGGAGGAUCCAAGCGUUAUCCGGAUUUAUUGGGUUUAAAGGGAGCGUAGGCGGGAGGUUAAGUUAGGGGUGAAAUGUUGAGGCUCAACCUCGAAAUUGCCGUUGAUACUGGUAGUCUAGAGUGUAGUUGAGGUAGGCGGAAUGCGUGGUGUAGCGGUGAAAUGCUUAGAUAUCACGCAGAACCCCGAUUGCGAAGGCAGCUUACCAAGCUACAACUGACGUUGAGGCACGAAAGCGUGGGUAUCAAACAGGAUUAGAUACCCCUGUAGUC
rnacentral:rRNA from 1 species